CAACCAUCAAGCCCCAGGCUUGUUUUGGGGGCCUGCAGCUGCUGCAGCCCCCUAAAAGCGGUGGCGGACUCGCUGUCAUUCCGAGCGCAGUAGUUACAUCUCGCUCUGGGCAUGGCGGCGGGCACCUGCCGUGAAACACUCUUUCUAA
rnacentral:misc_RNA from 1 species